rnacentral:tRNA from 1 species
GCCUCCUUAGCUCAGCUGGGAGAGCAAUUCACUUGUAAUGAAUAGGUCGUUGGUUCGAUUCCGACAGGAGGCU